AGCUUGUGUAUGGUCCAGACAUCACCGAGCACCCAAGUAUAAAUUAGCCUUACAACUCUCUAACGGAAACUUAAUGACUUCAACUUAAGUUGCAUCUUGACCUAGAAUUUGGGCUGACUUAGUAAUAAAACUUUGUGUGUUUUUGAAAUUCUUGGCACUUAUGCAUUUGAAAUUAGAUUUUAUAAAACAAUAAAAUAAACUGGGUAGAGACCGCAGUUUGUGGGUAUCUGAGCCGGAAACCCUCACGAGACAAAACUCGUCCACUAGGGCCACCUAGAGGUUUAAAGCCUUAUUGCAUACGGUAAAUGCAAUCGCGAUUCCUGCGAAAGUGAGUUAGUUUUUAUUUUUGCUCGAGGACUAGCAAAAUGUAGGUUGGG
rnacentral:lncRNA from 1 species